UGGGGAAUAUUGGACAAUGGGCGAAAGCCUGAUCCAGCCAUGCCGCGUGUGUGAAGAAGGUCUUCGGAUUGUAAAGCACUUUAAGUUGGGAGGAAGGGCAGUAAAUUAAUACUUUGCUGUUUUGACGUUACCGACAGAAUAAGCACCGGCUAACUCUGUGCCAGCAGCCGCGGUAAUACAGAGGGUGCAAGCGUUAAUCGGAAUUACUGGGCGUAAAGCGCGCGUAGGUGGUUCGUUAAGUUGGAUGUGAAAUCCCCGGGCUCAACCUGGGAACUGCAUUCAAAACUGACGAGCUAGAGUAUGGUAGAGGGUGGUGGAAUUUCCUGUGUAGCGGUGAAAUGCGUAGAUAUAGGAAGGAACACCAGUGGCGAAGGCGACCACCUGGACUGAUACUGACACUGAGGUGCGAAAAGCGUGGGGGAGCAAAACAG
rnacentral:rRNA from 1 species